CACGUAGUUGGCCGGGGCUUCUUCUGCAGGUACCGUCACAAUCGUCCCUGCUGAAAGAGGUUUACAACUCAGAAAGCCUUCGUCCCUCACGCGGCGUUGCUGCAUCAGGCUUUCGCCCAUUGUGCAAGAUUCCCCACUGCUGCCUCCCGUAGGAGUCUGGGCCGUGUCUCAGUCCCAGUGUGGCUGAUCGUCCUCUCAGACCAGCUACCCGUCGAAGCCUUGGUGAGCCGUUACCUCACCAACUAGCUGAUAGGCCGCGAGCCCCUCCGAAGCGGAAUCCAUUUCCUCACCAAGCCAUGCGACUCGGUGGGGAUAUCCGGUAUUAGCACCGGUUUCCCGGUGUUGUCCCGGUCUUCGGGGCAGGUUGCUCACGUGCUACUCACCCGUUCGCCACUUGAUCUUCACCAGUAUUGCUACCGGAUGGACCUGUUCGACUUGCAUGUGUUAGGCACGCCGCCAGCGUUGUCUGAGCCAGGAUCAAACUCU
rnacentral:rRNA from 1 species